rnacentral:piRNA from 1 species
UGGCUGGGAAGCACAGGUGGGCUUGGGA